rnacentral:rRNA from 1 species
AAACAUGUCUUUUUGUAUUAUAUAAAAAGUCUAACCUGCCCACUGAAUAAUUUUAAAUGGCCGCAGUAUUUUGACUGUGCAAAGGUAGCAUAAUCAUUAGUCUUUUAAUUGAAGGCUGGUAUGAAUGGUUGGACGAGGUAUAAGCUGUUUCAUAUAAAAUUAUUAUAGAAUUUUAUAUUUUAGUUAAAAAGCUAAAAUUUUAUUAAAAGACGAGAAGACCCUAUAAAUCUUUAUAUUUAAUAUUAUUUAAAUUUUAUAGAUAAAUUUUAUUUUUAUAAUAUUAAUUAUUUUGUUGGGGUGAUGUUAAAAUUUAAUAAACUUUUAAUUAUUUAAAAUCAUUAAUUUAUGAUUUAUUGAUCCAUUAAUAUUGAUUAUAAGAUUAAGUUACUUUAGGGAUAACAGCGUAAUUUUUUUUGAGAGUUCAUAUCGACAAAAAAGUUUGCGACCUCGAUG